GACGAACGCUGGCGGCGUGCUUAACACAUGCAAGUCGAACGGAAAGGCCUCAGCUUGCUGGGGUACUCGAGUGGCGAACGGGUGAGUAACACGUGGGUGAUCUGCCUUGCACUCUGGGAUAAGCUUGGGAAACUGGGUCUAAUACCGGAUAUGAACUGCCUUUAGUGUGGUGGUUGGAAAGUUUUUUCGGUGCAAGAUGAGCUCGCGGCCUAUCAGCUUGUUGGUGGGGUAAUGGCCUACCAAGGCGUCGACGGGUAGCCGGCCUGAGAGGGUGUACGGCCACAUUGGGACUGGGGUACGGCCCAGACUCCUACGGGAGGCAGCAGUGGGGAAUAUUGCACAAUGGGCGGAAGCCUGAUGCAGCGACGCCGCGUGGGGGAUGACGGCCUUCGGGUUGUAAACUCCUUUCGACAGGGACGAAGCUUUUUGUGACGGUACCUGUAGAAGAAGCACCGGCUAACUACGUG
rnacentral:rRNA from 1 species